CCACCAAGCCUUGAAUCUUCUAUAGCUCUUGGCUCAACAACGGUGAAGUUUGGUAGAUUCCCUUGCUGAGGUGGGAUCCUGAGGCCUUUCCAGUCAGCCAAGGGAACACUGGGAAUAUGAGCACAUUUGUUAGGACUGGAUGAUAGUGAACUAUGCCUGGGCAGAAUGAAGCCUGAGGAAGCUCUGGUAGACAUCUUAGUGGUCUUUUGCAGAACGCUCUUCUGACUUGACUAUAAAGGAGAACGACUGAGCCAUCCAGGAGCUAG
rnacentral:ncRNA from 1 species